GGAUUAGAUACCCUGGUAGUCCACACCGUAAACGUUGGGCGCUAGGUGUGGGGCUCAUUCCACGAGUUCCGUGCCGCAGCUAACGCAUUAAGCGCCCCGCCUGGGGAGUACGGCCGCAAGGCUAAAACUCAAAGGAAUUGACGGGGGCCCGCACAAGCGGCGGAGCAUGCGGAUUAAUUCGAUGCAACGCGAAGAACCUUACCUGGGUUUGACAUACGCCGGAAAGCCGUAGAGAUACGGCCCCUUUUAGUCGGUGUACAGGUGGUGCAUGGCUGUCGUCAGCUCGUGCCG
rnacentral:rRNA from 1 species